GGUUCGAUGGUGUAGCUGGUUAUCACUUCUGUCUAACAGCGCUCGGAUUUAUCCUUGCUAGUUCCACAGGCGGUCCUCGGUUCGAGCCCGGGUCGAAUCA